GAACUAUACCAUUACUGGUAUCUCAUCGAGACUUGAUUGAUUUUGCAGGGUAAACAUGGUAUCGAGAAACAACCGUUUCAGCUUCCUGAUUUCAUUGCUGCAACUGGUACUGAGAAAAUUAGACAGGGGGAAUCUGCAUUAUGGAGACUUGCCUGGCACACAUUAAAUCAUCAAUGAGGAUCACUAUGGGGCACUCAUCCACCACCUGUCUUUAGUUCGCAACAAACGCUGAAGUUGAUGAACUGCGUAAUGAACUCGCAAAUUAUGAGGUGAAGAACCUGACAAAGUUGGAAAGUGUGCUGGGAUGAAUCAUUGUUGGUCUUUUUUGGGUAUAUGCAAGGUCUGAAGUGCAUUAGGCAAGAUGUUGGUCCUUUUUGGGUUGGCCUGAAUUACAUUUCUUCUAUAGAUGUGAUCAUGUACGGAUGAGACUAUUUUAGCCACAUUUGUAGAUGUUUUUUUUUGGUAUGAGAGAUCCGUAGAUGUGAUCUUUUAUAUUUUUUGGAUACAAUUAGCAUUAUCGGAUCCAUUUAUGGGAUUAUAACAGCUAUUUAUUAUAA